ACCCCUGGUGAUCAACUUAGGAUUUUGUUGAUCAUGAAAAUUUCUAGAUAAAAGAUCAGAAAUUACAAAACUGCCCUUGAAAUGCUGUACCAGUUCUGAAAUAUUAUCUCUGGACAGGCUCUGAUAUGCUAAUAAAUGCCCUGUGCUCCAAACUAUACAGGUAGUAUGUGAAGACAGCAGUGAGAUCCCUCCUGAGGACUUGGUAAUAAGAUAUCCCCAGAGAGUCAAACUAGUUUAAUCAUCAUGUGAGAAGAGCCUCAACGUUUCCCAGAUGUGGAAAUUGAGGCACAGAGAGGUUUAGUAAUCAUCCAAGGUCACUCAGCUGAUCCUGACGACAUAGGGGAAGAGAGCUGCCACAGUAUAAUAUAACCAGGAGCUGCCAACCGUACACAGUACCCAGUAGGCUAAUAAUGGACGUGGAAGCCCCCAUGGGGAAUCUGUUCAAUUGGACGCACACAGGAGACCCACCCCGUUCUCCACCAUUCACAGUAGCGGUGGCUGCCGACACUCCCUUCAGCUUCUGAUUCCAGCCAGAGUCUUGCUGUCAUGGACUUCACAGGAGGGCUGACCCGAAGCUGGGACUCGCCGCCACUGCCCAUUGUCACCGGACAGCAUGCUGCCAGCCCAGGAAAAGAUUAACUUCAAAAUUCGAAGUACGGUUUCUACUCACUGCAUAUCAAUUUCACGCCACCCUAAAGUCGAAAAAGUUGCAAAGCAAGGAAGAGUGGCGUUGGCCCAGUAGUCCAGAAGCUCUUAUCCAAGAAAUGAGUGAAGGGAGGUUAUAAGACCCUCCUUGUUUUACCUCUGAUCCCAGAGGCUUGAGCCCCCAAAGGUCAACAUGGUGGCCUCCCUUAGAGCCGUGAAGGAUGGGCCCGGAGCAAACUAAGCUGGGCCUGGAUGCAGAGAAAUACUGUUUACAUGAGACUCUAAUCUGCUGGGUAUUUAUUGAAGUGACUUCUAGAAGGAAAGAACAAGCUCUUAUGAGGAAACUCUCACCAUGGAAGCCUGUUCGGGAGACCAGCCAGAAGAACCUAGAGGGGCAGAGAAAAAUUUCUUACUCCCCAGCAAUUGCAGUUUGGGGUCUGCAGCCAUGCUCCUGGCAGGACGCUUUGGAUAUGAAUGGCAAAGCGCUGGAGGAGAAGACAGGAUAGGAUGGACGUGGGCCCUUUGGAUUCGCCAGAGGAAAAAAAUAACAUGUAACUUGGAAAUGUAAUAAAACCUUCAAA